CUGAGAUGGCGCGGUCGAGGUUCCCCGGCGCGCGCCCGUCGCGCGCCGCGGGCUAAGAGGGAAUCCGGUGCAGCCGCGGCGACGCGGCGAAACCGGAGCUGCCCCCGCAACUGUGAGCGGCGAGCCGCCAUCCGGGAUGCCACUGGCGCGACCUCGCGCCGGGAAGGCGGAUGGCGGCCGUGACCCGCGAGCCAGGAGACCUGCCUCGACCGCAUAACGUCC
rnacentral:ncRNA from 2 species